rnacentral:rRNA from 1 species
UACGAAGGGGGCUAGCGUUGCUCGGAAUCACUGGGCGUAAAGGGUGCGUAGGCGGGCCUUUAAGUCAGGGGUGAAAUCCUGGAGCUCAACUCCAGAACUGCCUUUGAUACUGAAGAUCUUGAGUUCGGGAGAGGUGAGUGGAACUGCGAGUGUAGAGGUGAAAUUCGUAGAUAUUCGCAAGAACACCAGUGGCGAAGGCGGCUCACUGGCCCGAUACUGACGCUGAGGCACGAAAGCGUGGGGAGCAAACAGGG